AUUUCUAUGAGUGAAGUGGAGCGGAGCGGAGCGGAGAGGAGUCCAAUACCACUGGCGGGAAUUUGAAAAUGCGACGGAACAACAAAUAAUUACAGUUGUUUCCCAAAGAGCCCAUUAAGGAGCCUGUGACAGUGAGCAGCUAGCCCAUGCCAGUGACCCAGGAGAUCCUUCGGAUGUUAGUGAAAGACCUCAUCAGCAGACAGACUCGGAGAGUGAGGUAGAGCAGCCUCCAGUACUGCCCAGUGGAUCAAGAGCACCUCCAGGUAUACUAAAACCUACACAGUGGUACUGUAAAUUGAAAUUGUACUCAAACCAGAUAUGAUGCA